UCCCAGAAGCCUGAGUACAAGACCCAUUUUCUGGGACUAAAAAAGCAGCAUUUCUUGACACAGGGAGGAUCGCGAUAGACUACUUGGCCCAAUUAUGAGGAACUUUCCUGGCAGGCCAUUGAAGCCUUUGACAGUAAACCGAAUUCAGGAGCAGCACAUGGAAAACCAAGUAGCAGCAGCAUUGCCCAGUGCCAUUCUUCUUUUCAACAACCACAAACCAAGCAAGUUCAUAGAAGGUCAAGGUUUGAAUUACAGGAAGGAAAGAGCAGGAGCCCAGGGCAGCAACCCAUGAAGAUCGUUCCAAGGCUGUAGCUCGUACAAAACAUAGCAACCAUGAUGUUGAUGGGCCUUUCUGCACAGGACCAUGUUAUGUUGGUCCUGAAAGAUCUGCACUGGCUACCUGCAUCAUUGACCCAGUACAAAAUGUUCCUUCUGAUGUUUAAAUCUCUGCAAGCUCAGGACAUAAUUACUUAAAGGAGCGCCUCUCUCCUUAUCAUCCUGCCUGGACUUUGAGAUGGUUGAGGAGGCCAUCUUAGUUAUACCAUCUUUAAAUGAGAUCAGAGAAGUUGCACCCCCUGAGGGUCUCAUUAGCACUACAGCUUUGAAAUAUUCUGUCUCCCCCCAGCUAGCCCCCAUAUUACCCAUUUUUCGCACCAGUUGAAGACAUUUAUCUUCUGUCAAACAUCUGAAGGAUGACUUUUAUUGGACCAACACUGGGACAGAUGAGGAAACAUAUAUUUUUUCUGUUUUAAUUGGAUGUGCUUCCUCUGGCUUUUAUUGUAUCCUGCAUUGUUACCCACCCUGAGAUCAUCUGUGAUGAAGGGUGGAAUAGAAAUGUUGUAAUUACAUAAAAAUAAGUAAAAUAUAAA